UCUAGGAAAUGUAUUCUUUCCUCCAUUUCUGAGAGGAUUCCUACCUUAGGUUUAUAGUCUUCCUAUGAUAUAGAAGAUCUAGGCUCAAUGCCAUCAGCUGGAACAUUAAAGAUGAAAUGGUUCUCCUUUGGGGUCUGUUUUCUGGAAAGACAAAUUCAAUACAAAAGAAAUGCUGACUAGAUGUAAGGAGUCACUCUGAAGAAAUGAGUAAGAUUUUUGAAGACGAGCAAGUAUGGGUGAGUUUUAUCUUCUAAUUUUGCAUUUACCCUACAGAUGGGCAAAACCUGUAAAUUCUAUGAAUAACCUAAAACAC
rnacentral:lncRNA from 1 species